CCUACGGGUGGCAGCAGUGAGGAAUAUUGGUCAAUGGACGAGAGUCUGAACCAGCCAAGUAGCGUGAAGGAUGACUGCCCUAUGGGUUGUAAACUUCUUUUAUAUGGGAAUAAAAUGUUCCACGUGUGGGAUUUUGUAUGUAACAUAUGAAUAAGGAUCGGCUAACUCCGUGCCAGCAGCCGCGGUAAUACGGAGGAUCCGAGCGUUAUCCGGAUUUAUUGGGUUUAAAGGGAGCGUAGGUGGGUUGUUAAGUCAGUUGUGAAAGUUUGCGGCUCAACCGGAAAAUUGCAGUUGAAACUGGCAGUCUUGAGUACAGUAGAGGUGGGCGGAAUUCGUGGUGUAGCGGUGAAAUGCUUAGAUAUCACGAAGAACGCCGAUUGCGAAGGCAGUUCACUGGACUGCAACUGACACUGAGGCUCGAAAGUGUGGGUAUCAAACAGGAUUAGAUACCCCUGUAGUC
rnacentral:rRNA from 1 species